CUACGCAAAAUUUUACUGCUGAUCAAGUACCACAGAGAAGGUCAACUAAUCGUACAGAACAACCCACUCUACCUACUCAUGAUCAACACAGAUUGAGAUGGCGUAACAAAGCUAGAGAAAGACAAGCUGCUUUAAGCAAUGAGCAAACGUCAACAACAAUUGGCACGAUGACAAUCAAACUACAACCAACGACACCAUCCAGGAGGAUACACGUUGAACUUUCUCAAUAAUGUCCCAAGAUGAGUUCGAUCAUCAAGGCAUCACCAUCCAUCAGGUCUCAAUACAACGUGAAUGUCAAGUCGUCGUCGACAGACACAUACUACCCAACAUCCUCGAAAUACACGUUUGCCUGUAAUACCAGAAGAGGGAACCUCAAACGUAUUUCAUGAGAUUACGCCUAUACCAA